rnacentral:rRNA from 1 species
UACGAAGGGGGCUAGCGUUGCUCGGAAUCACUGGGCGUAAAGCGUGCGUAGGCGGAUGUGCAGGCGUCGUGUGAAAGCCCUCGGCUCAACCGGGGAAUUGCACGGCGAACCGCACGUCUCGAGACAAGUAGGGGCGGUCGGAACGAUAGGUGGAGUGGUGAAAUGCGCUGAUAUCUAUCGGAACGCCAAAGGUGAAGACAGGCCGCUGGGCUUGUUCUGACGCUGAUGCACGAAAGCGUGGGGAGCAAACGGG